CUGGGCGUGUUCGAGAUGCAGGGUCUAGAAACAUUUGAAGGUGGCGGUGCCCACUUAUCCAGAAAGGAGUGAGGACUUUAUCCGGCCUCUGUUGCAGUGCGAGGAGUUUUACAAGCGGUUGAAAAGUCUGGAAAUCCGAUCAGACACGAGAAAUUAUGGAACUAAGGAUCUCUCAGAAGAAGAAAUGAACAUGUUUGAACAACUCCUUAUCGCAAUGGAUGAAAUGGACGAUGUCAAAAUUUGCAAUUUUAUUUUGAGCCAGAAUAGUGAGGAAAGAAUGGUGGCCUUCAUUGCGUCAAGAAAUAUGUCACCGUCGAAAUUUAGGUUUAUGUGGUAAUACUUUGGAAAAACGGAUCGGUGGAAAAAAGACGGCUUUAAAACGCAGUAUUUUUAAGUCAGUCCUUUAUUUUUCGAUGAACUUAAAUAGGUGUCACUCAUAAAUUACGUAACGCGAGAUCUCCGAAUAACGAUAUCACGUCUAUGUUGACGACAUCGAUAAGUUUCAUAUAUAUGUGGUCACUUUAAAGAGGAAAAUUUUUAAGGCAGUUUUGUUAAUUGGAUUAGGGGUCGUUCAUAAAUUAUGUAAUUGGAAAAGGGGGAGCCUAAGGUUCUGUAUGUGACACGUAUUAAAGGGGGAGGAGGUGUCAAGAAAAUCGUCGAUUUUUUAUGCUUAAUUUGUACGUAAAUGUUGGAAAUUAUGCAUAUUUUAUAAGGA